rnacentral:snRNA from 1 species
UGGAAGUCGAAAUCCGCUA